rnacentral:lncRNA from 1 species
GUGAUUACUUGAUAGGGUUUAGUUUUUGGACGAUUAGGAUUGCCAUUGGAGCCACGUUCUAUGAAGCCAUAGACAUAGCAAUAUUUGAGAAAGAUGGUAGAUUGUCUUUAGAUUGCAACUACAUUUUCACCUUGUUUAUUCUAUAUACCCUCAUGUAAAAUUGAAAUGAAUAUGUCUGGCAUUUUUAAUUUUGAGUUUAGUUUAUGGAAGAUUUGAGUUUACAUUGGAUUAGAAUUUAUAUUUCUGUGUAGGAUAUAUUGAUUAUGGCUAGGGUUUAGUUUAUGGAAGAUUGAGGUUGACAUUGGAACAAUUAUUACCACUUUCAUAUUGUGAUAUUUGGAUUAUGGUUUAUAUUCUCCUGUUUGGUUUAGUGAUUUACUUGAUAGAGUUUAGUUUAUGGACGAUUUGGAUUGACAUUGGGGCAAGCAGUACCACGUUCCAUAGCCAUAUCAACAUAGUCAUUUCAUAAUUUCACUAGUAUGUACUAUGCUAUUUAUUUUGUUUCAUUCUAUUUGGAUUUAAGGUUAAUAUUUUAGUAAUGAUUCAUGUACAUA